rnacentral:tRNA from 1 species
UCCCUGGUGGUCCAGAGGUUAGGACUCAGCGCUUUCACUGCCUAGCGCCCGGGUUCAAUUCCCAGUCAGGGAA